UACGUAGGCAGCGAGCGUUGUUCGGAAUUACUGGGCGUAAAGCGUGCGUAGGCGGUGCCUCAAGUUUGGUGUGAAAUCUCCCGGCUCAACCGGGAGGGUGCGCCGAAAACUGAGGUGCUCGAGUGUGUGAGAGGUAAGCGGAAUUCCUGGUGUAGCGGUGAAAUGCGUAGAUAUCAGGAGGAACACCGGCGGUGUAGACGGCUUACUGGACCAUAACUGACGCUGAGGCACGAAAGUGUGGGGAGCAAACAGG
rnacentral:rRNA from 1 species